rnacentral:rRNA from 1 species
UACAGAGGGUGCGAGCGUUGUUCGGAAUUAUUGGGCGUAAAGGGCGCGUAGGCGGUGCGGUAAGUCACCUGUGAAAUCUCCUGGCUCAACUGGGAGCUUGCAGGCGAAACUGCCGUGCUGGAGUGUGGGAGAGGUGAGUGGAAUUCCCGGUGUAGCGGUGAAAUGCGUAGAUAUCAAGAGGAACACCAGUGGCGAAGGCGAGUCCCUGGACAACACCUGACACUGAGGCACGAAAGCUAGGGGAGCAAACGGG